CAGUUCAGCGCUCUUGGCCCCGCAGGUCUUCGGAAUCCCGGUGCCCUGUCCUGUACCUUCAGUCAUCCCCCGACUUCUUGGGGUCAAUGUUAUUACCUGCUGGGUUUUAGAAGCUGUUGCUUUAAAUCUGAGAAAAGAAAAAUCCCGAAAAGAUAAGAUGACUAGCCCAAGGUCAUAGCGUGCGUGGAAAACAGAGCUGCGAUUACAAGCCUGGUCGCUGUGCCUCAUUCCUCUUGUCAUCAUCUCCCGUCAGUUUAUCCAAGCUCCAAAAGCGAAGUUGUUUUAUCUUUUGCCUCCCAAGAUUUAUUUGAUGGUUUCAUUUCUGUUUCCUUCAUGUAUUCUUUAGUUCAUUAUUGAAAAACUUUAUAGCCUGCCAGUACUGGUUAUAAACCCCAAGUAAGGCAAUCUUCUCAUCACGGAGCUUGUAGUUCCAGCAAGUAGACAAGUGUUGUGUAGUGAAGUAAUCGCUGAGAUAGUGUACGUAAGCACAGAGUGCACUAUUCUUCCAACAAGUAGUUGCUGGAGAAGCAAAUAGGGACACCUAACCAUUGCAGGAGAGACUCCAGAUAUCCUUUCUGGAAGAAAAGGCUGAUGAAAUGAAGGUGGAUCACUGGUUGAAGUUAGCCAGGAAAGAAAAGGUGUUGUGACAUUCUUGGUUUUGCUGUUUAUUCUGCAAGAACUUUAUUAUUAUGAAAGCCUAAUUCCACUGCAUAAGUUCCAUGCAUAACACUCAGAAGGCAAUUUGGUUAAGUACAGUGCUGAAGCAGGUUAGUAGCAGUGAAGAUGGGAAGGACCAGCUGAAUGGAGGAGAUAAACUGCACAGGACAAAAAAUAUCCAAAGAUAUUUUGGCACUAACAGCGCGAUCUGUAGCAAGAAAAUUGAGCAGUCUAUUUGAACUGUUCAUUCUUCCGAGGAGACCUCAGAGAGCCAAGACAGUAUAAAGGAAAAUUUGAAAAAAAGACUUAUUAGACAUUAUUAAGGGCACAAAAGUUGAAUUAAGCACAGUUAAUGUACAAACAACAAAGCCACCCAACAGCAGACCACUUAAAAACUACAACUGGUAGCCUUCAGAGAGCUACAGAACAUGCUCCAAAGAAGAGAGAAAUGUAAUUGUAAUUUGAAUGUUGUUUGAAACUAAUUUUUGAAACUCCAGUAAAUUUUUUCUUUUGGCAAAAACUAUUUUUAAAUAUGAGUACUUAGGAGAUGUUGAAUUAAUGAAGUCCAAGUUGAAUUAGUGAAGAAUAAAUAUCAGCUUGUAAACACAGGGACCCUAAUUACUUGCUGUAAUGUAUUUUAGAAAA